rnacentral:rRNA from 1 species
AGUGAACGCUGGCGGUAGGCCUAACACAUGCAAGUCGAACGGCAGCACAGUAAGAGCUUGCUCUUACGGGUGGCGAGUGGUGGACGGGUGAUGAAUACAUCGGAAUCUACUUUUUCGUGGGGGAUAACGUAGGGAAACUUACGCUAAUACCGCAUACGACCUCCGGCUGAAAGCAGUGGAUCUUCGAACCUUGCUCGAUUGAAUGAGCCGAUGUCGGAUUAGCUAGUUGGCGGGGUACAGGCCCACCAAGGCGACGAUCCGUAGCUGGUCUGUGAGGUAGAUCAGCCAGACUGGAGCUGAGACACGGUCCAGACUCCUACGGGAGGCAGCAGUGGGGAAUAUUGGACAAUGGGCGCAAGCCUGAUCCAGCCAUACCGCGUGGGUGAAGAAGGCCUUCGGGUUGUAAAGCCCUUUUGUUGGGAAAGAAAAGCAGCAGGUUAAUACCCCGCUGUUCUGACGGUACCCAAAGAAUAAGCACCGGCUAAAUUCGUG